rnacentral:piRNA from 1 species
GUGGACAGAAGGGAUUUCUGAAA